rnacentral:rRNA from 1 species
UACAGAGGGUGCAAACGUUGUUCGGAAUACUGGGCGUAAAGCGUGUGUAGGCGGCCAUAUAAGUCGGAUGUGAAAGCCCUGGGCUCAACCCCAGGAAGUGCACUCGAUACUGUGUGGCUUGAGUACUUGGAGAGGUUGGUGGAAUUCUCGGUGUAGAGGUGAAAUUCGUAAGAUAUCGAGAGGAACACCGGUGGCGAAGGCGGCCAACUGGACAGAUACUGACGCUGAGACACGAAAGCGUGGGGAGCAAACAGG